rnacentral:rRNA from 1 species
AUGCAUCGCUGUCAUUCAUUCAACACCAUACAUACAAAGGUAUCAACAUAUAUAUUGCUUUUGCUUCUUCCUUUUUUUUUAAAUCAAAUCAAAUCAAAUCAAAUAAAAGGCACAUCCUCUAACCAAUUCAUUGUAAUCAUACUUUUUUUCUUCUUCAAUUCAAUGACGAGCGUGACCUUUCUCUUGGCUUUUAUUUGCAAACUGCCUUCCUCUCACGCCCUCGUCCUCCUCCACCCUCUCUUUGUACAAGUCGUAUUAGCUUGUUGUCGCUAUCGGGGGCAUCAAGCCGGAGGGAGUGCUUCAACGCCUUGA